UACGUAGGGGGCAAGCGUUGUCCGGAUUUAUUGGGCGUAAAGAGCGUGUAGGCGGCCAUACAGGUCAGCUGUGAAAACUCGAGGCUCAACCUCGAGACGUCGGUUGAAACCGUAUGGCUAGAGUCCGGAAGAGGAGAGUGGAAUUCCCGGUGUAGCGGUGAAAUGCGCAGAUAUUGGGAAGAACACCAGUGGCGAAGGCGGUUCUCUGGGACGGUACUGACGCUGAGACGCGAAAGCGUGGGGAGCGAACAGG
rnacentral:rRNA from 1 species